CAAUAUAAGUGAUGGCGACCGGCGCACGGGUGAGUAACACGUAUCCAACCUGCCGAUAACUCGGGGAUAGCCUUUCGAAAGAAAGAUUAAUACCCGAUGGUAUAAUAAAACCGCAUGGUUUAAUUAUUAAAGAAUUUCGGUUAUCGAUGGGGAUGCGUUCCAUUAGGCAGUUGGUGAGGUAACGGCCCACCAAACCUUCGAUGGAUAGGGGUUCUGAGAGGAAGGUCCCCCACAUUGGAACUGAGACACGGUCCAA
rnacentral:rRNA from 1 species